rnacentral:rRNA from 1 species
GAUGAACGCUGGCGGCGUGCCUAAUACAUGCACGUCGAGCGAAGCGGGGACGGGUGAGUAACACGUGGAUAACCUCCUAUAAGACUGGGAUAACUUCGGGAAACCGGAUCUAAACCGGAUACUUUUAGAUGGAUCCGGUCUGCAGUAGCUAGUGGGUAAGGUAACGGAUUACCAAGGCAACGACACAUAGCCUCCCUGAGAGGGUGAUCGGCCAGACUGGAACUGAGAGAGGGAGCAGACUCCUACGGGAAGGAGCGGUAGGGAAUCUUCCGCAAUGGGCUAAAGCCUGACGGAGCAACGCGGCGGGAGUGAGGAAGGUCUUCGGAUGGUAAAACACUAUGAGUAGGAAGGCGGUACGUAAUCAGAAAGCCACGGCUAACUGCGUGCCAGCAGCCGCGGUAAUUC